UUUGAGAAAGACAUGUCGUAAUGAAGAAGUGUCCUAGUUCACGAUAACUGACGAUUUGUUUUAAAAAUUUGCCAACGUUUUUGUUAUUUCCAAGAAGAAAAGUUUUGCUGCUUUCUCGUGACACAAUUUCACUGCAUGAAAUGUUCCGUGAAAAGAUUGACAAAACACGACACACGCGAUCAGUGAACACACAAGAAAUCCCCGUUCUCUCACGGCUCACCCCGUUCACGUCCAUUUUGACACGAAAGCAGUUUCAAAUCCUGCGUAAAAGGCCAACUGUGCCAGCCUUGCAAAAGUUGGAGAAAAUUCGAUGAAACAUGUUUGUACAGACACGCCAUGUUGUCAACAAAACCCAAAGCUGCAACCGAGACACUACGUUAGAAAAUCAAUCCCGGCUACGACUUACGUGUAUUUCGCAAAUCCGGCUUGCUUUCUUCUCAUUUCCUGUUGACGUUGCACCGGAAAGUCUAGCCGUCAGAGGAAAUCAAUAGUUGUAAUGGAAAUUCGACGACAUGGACGUUGCCUCUUGCAAAAACCAGCCAGUGGAAAUAACCUGCUCUAUUGGGUAACUUUUGAUUGCAAUCAGAGAACGGAUGCGAGGAGACGAUGCCACCCACAACACCCACGUCUUUUUAACAUUGUUUUUUUUUUUUUUUUUUUUUUUUUUUUUUUUUUUAUUUUAAGUAUAUUCUAUUGAUCUAAAAAUAAACCAAAAGCCAAGCUUCCCAAUAUCAAGGGACGUGUAUAGACGACGGAUGAGUUCGUCUUUUACAGGAAAUCAGUUUUGAUUCGACACUUCUGCUAGAGAGACAUGAUGAAACGAACUCUGAUACGAAAGAUCGUCCUUUUCUAUCUG